rnacentral:rRNA from 1 species
CGGAGGCGCGCAAUGGUUCUCUAGGACCGGAUGGAAAUCGGACUGAUAGUGUAAACGCAUAAGAGAGCUUAACUGCAAGACCUACAAGUCGAGCAGAUGCGAAAGCAGGUGUUAGUGAUCCGAUAGUGGCAUGUGGAUGCGCUAUCGCUCAACGGAUAAAAGUUACGCCAGGGAUAACAGGCUUAUAGAUUCCAAGAGUUCACAUCGACGAAUCUGUUUGGCACCUCGAUGUCGGCUCGUCCUAUCCUGGGGCUGGAGAAGGUCCCAAGGGUUUGGCUGUUCGCCAAUUAAAAGGGUACGCGAGCUGGGUUCAGAACGUCGUGAGACAGUUCGGUCCUUAUCUUCCAUGGUCGUAGGAUUUUUGAAGGAUGUUGCCCCUAGUACGAGAGGACCGGGGUGAACGAACCUCUAGUGUAUCUGUUGUCGUGUCAUCGGCAUUGCAGAGUAGCUAUGUUCGGAUGGAUAACCGCUGAAAGCAUCUAAGUGGGAAGCCAUUCCUAAGAUUAAAGAUCCCCAUGAACCUCCUUGAAGAUUACAAGGUUGAUAGGUCACAGGUGUACGCACAGCGAUGUGUUCAGCCGAGUGAUACUAACAGGUCAUUGACUUA